GGUAGGUGAUAUUAUAACAUGGUCUGGUAGGUGAUAUUAUAACAUGGUCUGGUAGGUGAUAUUAUAACAUGGUCUGGUAGGUGAUGUUAUAACAUGGUCUGGUAGGUGAUAUUAUAACAUGGUCUGGUAGGUGAUAUUAUAACAUGGUCUGGUAGGUGAUAUUAUUACAUGGUCUGGUAGGUGAUGUUAUAUUAUAACAUGGUCUGGUAGGUGAUGUUAUAACAUGGUCUGGUAGGUGAUGUUAUAACAUGGUCUGGUAGGUGAUGUUAUAACAUGGUCUGGUAGGUGAUGUUAUAACAUGGUCUGGUAGGUGAUAUUAUAACAUGGUCUGGUAGGUGAUAUUAUAACAUGGUCUGGUAGGUGAUAUUAUAACAUGGUCUGGUAGGUGAUAUUAUAACAUGGUCUGGUAGGUGAUAUUAUAACAUGGUCUGGUAGGUGAUAUUAUAACAUGGUCUGGUAGGUGAUAUUAUAUUAUAUAUAGUAAUGGUUAUACAUGGUCUGGUAGGUGAUAUUAUAAC
ensembl:lncRNA